rnacentral:rRNA from 1 species
UACGUAGGGGACGUAGCGUUGUCCGGAAUCAUUGGGCGUAAAGCGCGUGUAGGCGGCCACUUAAGUCCUGCGUGAAAUCUUGCGGCUCAACCGCAAGCGGUCGGUGGGAAACUGGGUGGCUAGAGUGCGGGAGAGGAGAGUGGAAUCCUGGUGUAGCGGUGAAAUGCGCAGAGUAUCAGGAGGAACACCAAUGGCGAAGGCAGCUCGCUGGAACGGUACUGACGCUGAGGCGCGAAGCGUGGGAGCAACAGG